rnacentral:rRNA from 1 species
AUGUCUCGAGUUGGCUGCCACGCCGUCGCAGUAAUCUGGGUACUCCCUUGGCAUAAAUUUCCACGUGAUAAUGAGCAUCAGGUUGUCAACAUUGACGAGGAAGGGAGGAUGUUAAGUCAAGUCACCACGAUGGAUACUUCAGAUAUUCCUGUUGAAAGUCCUCUUGGUAUUUUAAACUCCAAAAGCAAUGAACAUCAUAUUUUGGAAUUUAGGAAUAACGAGCUCUUUGUGUCAGAGUUGCAAAAUACACUGGAUAAAAACCAAUACAGUUGGAUGAGGCAGGAAGUAAAACUUAGCUCUGUGAUGGGUGAAGCUAAAUCUCUGAAGGAAGAACUUGAAAGUGUCCAGCGAGUCCCAGAUUAA